CCUACCUCCUCGCCGGAGCGUGCGAGCGCGCUUUGCCUUUGCCUUUGCGCAGAUCCUUUUUCGAUCAAUAACAACGCGCGAGUGUUGAGCCGCGCCGCGCCGUCCACGAGCGGCAGUCGGCCACGCGAGAUUCCCCCGCGAUCAGUCCUCGCGCAGUUCGCGGCUCCGCGGUCCUCGGUUCGAGCCCCAGUGCGUAUCGCGGAUCCAGCCGCACCGCUAGCCCCCCGAGACUAGAACUCUCGCCUCACAUUCCGUUUUUAAUUCAGUGAAACCACCCAUGGACCGUAAGAGGUGUUGUCAGGAAAUUCGAUUGCGUGUGUGUGUUGAACUGUGACGUCAACGUGUGAUGGGAGGCAUGAUCAAAAGGCUGCUCAUAGUAUCGCGCCGAACGUGGAAGUUUUUCUAACAUUGUUGAAACCGGACCCAAGUUCCGCCGUAUUAAGCUCACUGUCAUCCAGUGGAACCUAACUCGACAGAAACAACGUAUCCAAGGAUGAAUCCACCCGGUUUGGAUGAUGUGGCGCCCAAGGACCCGAAAGCCGCUCAGCAAACGCGCCAGGAAUUCACCGAGCAAGAUUUUGAGGGUCACAGAGCAGCCAUGUUCAUCGGCGUCCACCUACCGGGGCAGAAAAAGCACAGGCGCCACCACCGACACAAGAACAAGAACAAAAACGACGACGAGGAGGAUGAAGAAGAGGAACGACCAUGUAAGUCUCUUUCAUUCAACAACUCGGCAACGUUGUUUCCUCCAUUUAAAUCUAUGAAAAUGUAUCGACUCUUGGAGUGGCCGAGUGCCCCGACAAGAAUCGAUCAUUCAACACAGGUUUAAAGGGAUUACAUUUUGCAAUAAGGAAACGCUAUUUCUGGCUCUCCUAUAAAAGCACAUAUUUGCAUAGGGAAACCGAUGACAUGUGCGUUGUUU
rnacentral:lncRNA from 1 species